CAGCUGGGCUGCAGUGUUCUCAAGGAACUGCUCUGCGAUCAGGCCUGCCAGAAGGCACAAGACAGCGACCUCAGCUUCAAUCCAAAAGCCCCGGAUGGAGUGGGAAGAAAGAGGAAGGAAAUGAACAAAGCCCACAAGGACUGCAGCGCUAUGAUCAAAGGCCCCUGGAUUUUUGAUGUCUAAAGAACAGAUCCUAUUUGCACAUAAUCGGAUGUAUUAGAAGACUGUCUCAAAAAAGGUUAAAAGUUGGCUAGGGAUUUAGCUCAGUGGUUUUGCUGCCUGCUGCACAAGCACAAGGACCCGAGUUCAAUCCCGGGUACCAAAAAAAAAAA